rnacentral:RNase_P_RNA from 1 species
UGAGUAGCACAGAUGGUCGCGCCUAUUCGUAGGUGAGGAAAGUCCGGGCUUCAUAGGGCAGGGUGCCGGAUAACGUCCGGUGGAGGCGACUCCAAGGCUAGUGCAACAGAAAUAUACCGCCUGUAAACAAUGCCUGAACCAUCAGGCACAGGUACAGGUAAGGAUGGAAAGGUGGCUUAAGAGACCACCGCUCUUCUGGUAACAGGAGAGGCUAUGUAAACCCCACCCGAAGCAAGACCGAACAUAAGGCGAUACGGUUGCCCGCCGUGCCUUAGGGUAGGUCGCGUAGUAUCCGCAAAAGCGGAACUGGAGCCACAUGGUAACAUGUGGUCAAGAUAGAUGACCAUCCACGACAGAACCCGGCUUACCGUGCUGCUCAUACA